rnacentral:rRNA from 1 species
GACGAACGCUGGCGGCGUGCUUAACACAUGCAAUUCGAACGAUGAAUCCUUAGCUUGCUUUGGUGGCUUAGUGGCGAACGGGUGAGUAACACGUGAGCAACGUGCCCAGGACUCUGGAAUAACCGCCGGAAACCGUGGCUAAUACCGGAUAGGUGCCGAGGCCGCAUGGUCUUCGUUUGGAAAGUUUUUGCGGUUCUGGAUCGGCUCACGGCCUAUCAGCUUGUUGGUGGGGUAAUGGCCUACCAAGGCGACGACGGGUAGCCGGCCUGAGAGGGUGACCGGCCACACUGGGACUGAGACACGGCCCAGACUCAUACGGGAGGCAGAAGUGGGGAAUAUUGCACAAUGGGCGCAAGCCUGAUGCAGCAACGCCGCGUGGGGGAUGACGGCCUUCGGGUUGUAAACCGCUUUUAGUAGGGAAGAAGCGCAAGUGACGGUACCUGCAGAAAAAGCACCGGCUAACUACGUG